rnacentral:misc_RNA from 1 species
GUUAGAAUUACAAAGAUCUAGCGCAAGUGUAGAGAAGGAAAAAUUUGAUUGGACAGAAAGAAAACAUGCACAGCUAUCUCGUCGACAUUGUGAUUAUUUGAGGGUAUAUAAGAGAAGCUUCAUGGAGAGUCUGGUGGUUUUUGAUGGAUCAUUUGAGCAUUAUAGUUGCUUUUUGUUUUAUUGUCCUUCACCUUUGAGCCUAGCUUCUGAUGUUUAUACUGUUAGCAUAUGUAAACCAAAGCUCUAUAUUCUUUCCCCCCUCUUUUCUGCUUAUUUUUUCGGCAUAGAAAAACGAAGUUAUUCUUCUGGC